UUCCUGAUGUUUUGUCGGAAUCUUCUUUCUUGUAAUUUGAAGCCAUUGGUUUGAGUCUUGCCCUCCAGAGCAAGAGAAAACAGGCUUACUGCAUCCUCCAUGUGACAGCACUUAAGAUAUUUGGAGACAGCUAUCAUAUCUCCUCUCAGUCUCGUCUUUUCCAGACUAAACAUACCCAGCUCCUUCAACC